rnacentral:rRNA from 1 species
ACGGGAGGCAGCAGUGGGGAAUAUUGGGCAAUGUGCGAAAGCCUGACCCAGCAACGCCGCGUGAAGGAAGAAGGCCUUCGGGUUGUAAACUUCUUUUACCAGGGACGAAUAAUGACGGUACCUGGAGAAAAAGCAACGGCUAACUACGUGCCAGCAGCCGCGGUAAUACGUAGGUUGCAAGCGUUGUCCGGAUCUACUGGGUGUAAAGGGCGUGUAGGCGGAGCUGCAAGUCAGAUGUGAAAUCCCGGGGCUAAACCCCGGAACUGCAUUUGAAACUGUAGCCCUUGAGUAUCGGAGAGGCAAGCGGAAUUCCUAGUGUAGCGGUGAAAUGCGUAGAUAUUAGGAGGAACACCAGUGGCGAAGGCGGCUUACUGGACGACAACUGACGCUGAGGCGCGAAAGCGUGGGGAGCAAACAGGAUUAGAUACCCUGGUA